UGGUGGGUAGUUUGACUGGGGCGGUCUCCUCCCAAAGAGUAACGGAGGAGCACGAAGGUUGGCUAAUCCUGGUCGGACAUCAGGAGGUUAGUGCAAUGGCAUAAGCCAGCUUGACUGCGAGCGUGACGGCGCGAGCAGGUGCGAAAGCAGGUCAUAGUGAUCCGGUGGUUCUGAAUGGAAGGGCCAUCGCUCAACGGAUAAAAGGUACUCCGGGGAUAACAGGCUGAUACCGCCCAAGAGUUCAUAUCGACGGCGGUGUUUGGCACCUCGAUGUCGGCUCAUCACAUCCUGGGGCUGAAGUAGGUCCCAAGGGUAUGGCUGUUCGCCAUUUAAAGUGGUACGCGAGCUGGGUUUAGAACGUCGUGAGACAGUUCGGUCCCUAUCUGCCGUGGGCGCUGGAGAAUUGAGGGGGGCUGCUCCUAGUACGAGAGGACCGGAGUGGACGCAUCACUGGUGUU
rnacentral:rRNA from 1 species